GACGAACGCUGGCGGCGUGCUUAACACAUGCAAGUCGAACGAAGUGGCGAACGGGUGAGUAACGCGUAAUCAACCUGCCCUUCAGAGGGGGUCAACAGUUGGAAACGACUGCUAAUACCGCAUACUGAAGGAGGGGAUUGCGUCUGAUUAGCUAGGUGGAGGGGUAAAGGCCCACCAAGGCGAUGAUCAGUAGACGGGCUGGUAGGAUGGACGGCCAAAAUGGGACUGAGAAACGGCCCAGACUCCUUAGGGAGGCAGCAGGGGGGAAGCUUCCGAAAUGGACGAAAGUCUGAAGGAGCAACGCCGCGGGAGUGGUGACGGCCUUCGGGUUGUAAAGCUCUGUUAAUCGGGACGCGGUACCGGAAUAGAAAGCAACGGCUAACUACGUGCCAGCAGCCGCGGUAAUAC
rnacentral:rRNA from 1 species